AUACGCAGAACGUCCUCUAAUGCCACUUCCGUGGGUGCUAGGUUAGAAGCUGGGGGCGGUGUUGACCUUGAGAGCGCGCGAGGGAGGCGCAGGCGCAGCUCAGGCUGACCGUCCUUGGAGACUUUCCGGAUCUCCACAGACCUCUCUGUUCCUCUGUCGUCUCCUUCACCUGCUUUAGUGCGUCCUGCAGCCCUCCCCUUAUGGCAGUGGAAUUUGAUCCUGAGACGUUUCUUCACCGUUCAUAUAUACCAGUGGAAACCAGAAGAACAUCUACCAAGACCAGAGUAACCAGAGAGAGAAUUCUGCUUAUUUUAAAAUACCUUCCAAUAUGGGUGGUUUCCUUUUAUUUAUAAAGUAUAUAUAUAUGCACAUACACA